GACGAACGCGGGCGGCGUGCUUAACACAGGCAAGUCGAACGGAAAGGCCUGCUUUCCCUUGUGGAUUGCGGGUACUCGAGUGGCGAACGGGUGAGUAACACGUGAGUGAUCUGCCCCCAACUUGGGUAUAAGCCUGGGAAACUGGGUCUAAUUCCCGAUAGGACUGCAGGGUGGUGCCUGUGGUGGAAAACGAUUUUCUAGUGGUUGGGGAUGAGCUCGCGGCCUAUCAGCUUGUUGGUGGGGUAAUGGCCUACCAAGGCGGCGACGGGUAGCCGGCCUGAGAGGGUGGACGGCCACAUUGGGACUGAGAUACGGCCCAGACUCCUACGGGAGGCAGCAGUGGGGAAUAUUGCACAAUGGGCGGAAGCCUGAUGCAGCGACGCCGCGUGGGGGAUGAAGGGCUUCGGGUUGUAAACUCCUUUCGACCGCGAGGAAGCCACCUGGUUGGAAGGGUGGUGACGGUAGUGGUAGAAGAAGCACCGGCUAACUACGUU
rnacentral:rRNA from 1 species